rnacentral:RNase_P_RNA from 1 species
GGUUGGCUGGGCGAUUGCGGGUGUUUAUACAUCUGAGGAAAGUCCGCGCUCCAAAGGGAAACGUGCCGGAUAACGUCCGGGUCGGGCAACCGAGAGAAGGGUCACAGAGAAAUAUAUUGCCCAUGAUGUUGAUUGUGGGUGAGGGUGAAAUGGUGUGGUAAGAGCGCACCGACAUCUGCAGUAAUGUAGUUGUCUAGGCAUCCCUCACGUGGAGCAAGGCCAAGCAGGAGCGACGUGGUUACCCGCCACAUUUGAGUUUCGGGUGGGCCGCACGAGGCUCACAGUAAUGUGAGUUCUAGAUAGAUGAUCGCCACUGGCUGUGGAGCAGGAUGAAGUACAUCGUACGUAAACUGUAUAGUGGCCAGUACAGAACGCGGCUUAUAGGCUGGCC